rnacentral:rRNA from 1 species
GAUGAACGCUGGCGGCGUGCCUAAGACAUGCAAGUCGAGCGGUAAGGCCCUUCGGGGUACACGAGCGGCGAACGGCUGAGUAACGCGUGGGAAUCCACCCCAAAGUGAGGGAUAAGCACCGGAAACGGUGUCUAAUACCGCAUGUGGUCUUCGGAUUAAAGUUUUAUACGCUUUGGGAGGAGCCCGCGUCCGAUUAGGUUGUUGGUGAGGUAAUGGCUCACCAAGCCGACGAUCGGUAACUGGUCNGAGA